UUCUUCCAAAAAAUUUACUAUAUUGGAGAGACAAAAGACGUUGUUUUACAAAGAACGUUAGGAGAGAAUAUGAUGGGCACCAGUGCUCAGGAAGCAAGAGAUUUUAAUGAUUUGGGUACAUUAUUAAGAAGCUGCACGACUGACAAAAGUAAAUAUGGAGACCAUGAAGGAAGGAGGAUUUUUCAGAGUUUAAGGACGGCUUAUAAGUCUGGCUUCAAUUUUCAGCAAAGAAAAUCUUUUGAUAAAAGAAAGAUAAAUUUUACAAAUCCAUUAGCUCGAACAAGCAGCAAAGAAGAAACAGAGAAAUCUCCAUUCUAUGGGAGAAAAAAUAAAAUAUAUUUUUUCCACUUACAAAGUCCGCUAUUUGAAGGCUCAGGAUAUCAUCAAGCCACCCCCCAACCUCUAAGGCUAAUAAUUAUUAGCCCUCCUUAA
rnacentral:lncRNA from 1 species